CCACCUGGUAAGAAUGGUCCCACGACUAAAACUCACAGGAAUUGACUGGGGCCCGCACAAGCGGUGGAGCAUGUGGUUUAAUUCUUUCAACCCGCACAACCUUCCCUGGCCUUGACAUCCACGGAACCCUGGUGAAAGCCGGGGGUGCCCGCCAGGGAGCCGUGAGACAGGUGCUGCAUGGUCGUCGUCACCUCGUGUCGUGAGAUGUUGGGUUAAGUCCCGCAACCACCGCCACCCCUGUUGCUAGUUGCCAUCAGUUCGGCUGGGCACUCUAGCGAGACUGCCUACCAAAGUAGGAGGAAGGCGGGGAUGACGUCUGAUCCGCAUGGCCCUUACAACCUGGGCGACACACGUGCUACAAUGCCUGCCACAAAGCGCUGCGACCCGGUAACGGGAAGCCAAUCGCACCAAAGCAGGCUCAGUUCGGAUUGGGGUCUGCAACUCGACCCCAUGAAGCCGGAAUCGCUAGUAAUCGCGGAUCAUCCAUGCCGCGGUGAAUACGUUCCCGGGCCUUGUACACACCGCCCGUCAAGCCAUGUGAGUGGGUUUUGCCUGAAGUCGCCGGGAGCCACAGGCAGGCGCCUAGGGUAAGGCUCGUGACUGGGGAUAAGUCGUGUC
rnacentral:rRNA from 1 species